UCCGAGUUGACCCCGGCAGUCUCCUAUGAGUCCCCACCAUUACGUGCUGGCGACAUAGAACGAGGGUUGCGCUCGUUGCGGGACUUAACCCAACAUCUCACGACACGAGCUGACGACAGCCAUGCACCACCUGCACACCAGCCACAAGGGAACGCCUAUCUCUAGACGCGUCUAGUGCAUGUCAAACCCAGGUAAGGUUCUUCGCGUUGCAUCGAAUUAAAGAACAUGCUCCGCUGCUUGUGCGGGCCCCCGUCAAUUCUUUUGAGUUUUAAUCUUGCGACCGUACUCCCCAGGCGGGAUGCUUAAUGCGUUAGCUGCGCCACUGAAGGGUAAACCCACCAACGGCUAGCAUCCAUCGUUUACGGCGUGGACUAC
rnacentral:misc_RNA from 1 species